rnacentral:rRNA from 2 species
UUGACCUCAAAUCGGGUGAGACUACCCGCUGAACUUAAGCAUAUCAAUAAGCGGAGGAAAAGAAACUAACAAGGAUUCCCCUAGUAACUGCGAGUGAAGCGGGAAAAGCUCAAAUUUAAAAUCUGGCGGUCUUUGGCCGUCCGAGUUGUAAUUUAGAGAAGCAUCUUCCGCGCCGGACCGUNCACAACUCUCCUGGUUUGGAGCGUCAUAGAGGCUGAGAAUCCCGUCUUUGGCACGGAUGCCCGGUGCUUCUGUGAUGCGCUCUCGAAGAGUCGAGUUGUUUGGGAAUGCAGCUCAAAAUGGGUGGUGAACUCCAUCUAAAGCUAAAUAUUGGCGAGAGACCGAUAGCGAACAAGUACCGUGAGGGAAAGAUGAAAAACACUUUGGAAAGAGAGUGAAACAGUACGUGAAAUUGUUGAAAGGGAAACGCUUGAAGUCAGUCGCGUCGACCGAGACUCAGCCUUGCCUCGGCUUGGUGUACUUCUCGGCCCGACGGGUCAGCGUCAAUUUUGCCCCUCGGAUAAUGGCAAGGGAAAGGUGGCACCUUUGCGGGUGUGUUAUAGUCUCCUGUCGCAUGCGAGGGG